CAUUAUAACAUCAACUCUAAACUCCAAAGUUUUCUCUAAAUAUUGUUGCUAUUAGGUGUGCCUGAGACUUGAGGUCUGAGUCAUCCUGAGGCAAAAUUCCUUUCCAUGUGUGAACUGUAAAACCAGGUGUGUUGCGUAUUUCCCAAAUGCAACAGUCAGCAGGUGUAGGAUAGAUACUCCUAUUCCAGAAGGGAGACCUCGGAAGGAAGGAAGGGAUGGUGGAUGGCAAGCAAGUCCAAAACCUAGCAAGGCAAAUGCUAUUUGAUUUUAAUUCUCAAAAAUAGUCCUCUUUGGUUCAGUGGUUCAUAAGACCCCCACCUCUGAGGCAUGAGUGGAAUGGUAUUGACCCCCUGAAAAUAGAGAGAUGGUCCCACUCUUUGAAAUGGAGGGAACAGUCUUGCCCAUGAACCUGUGCUGGGAGUAACAGGGAUGUAAUUUGGUAAGUAGUGAUGAUUUUGUAGAUAUAUACAUAUCUGACAUAUAUUAAACAGCAGGUUUCUGUAUAGGAGGGAGGAAAAUGGGAAAGUGAAUAUGGGGUGAAAAGAAAAAAGUAUUAAACAAGGAUGAGACCUUGCAUGGAGCUGUGAUCAUAGCAUGAAAUGAACAGAGAAGUAGGAUUAUUCUAGCUGUGUGCACUUAAGACCAAAAGAGGAAAAUAUGAAUCUAGCCUCCCUCUUUUUCACCUUGUACCUGAAUAAUUAGUUACAGCUCAUAAGAAUUCUCCUUGUGUGACCUUCUGCCAUGGAAAUGAGACAACAACUCCAAUGAAAUGUUGAUGACUUGGCUGGACUUUUCCAGAUGAGCCUCAGAAGCAAGUAAAUUUAUUUAUGUCAAGAAAGAACAUCUAAAUGUUAAUUAUUCCAAAAGGGAAAAGAGGCAAAGGGGAGAUUCUAUCAACAACUCAUUUGGCUAUUUGGCAGGAAGUGGUAAGAGUGGUGGGGAAGGGAGAGUAGGGUUUCCAUUUGUUGGAAACAUUAAGGUUCUUCUUGCUCUGCCUUAAGUCUUGUUGGAGGCAUAUUUAGGUUCUAGUCUCACUCUCAGACUGGAGAUAUCUUAUCCUGCCUUACAGCCCUGAGCUUUGGAAUGGCUUCUCUGUGUUGCAUUAAACACUCAGCAACAACUCACAGGAGUAAUUUUCCAGGAAGCCUUAGCCCUGCCUGGAAGUGUGACAGCAGCAGCAUCCAAACCAGUGUGGGUGGCCUCUAGAACACCAGAAGACAAAUUUGAGUGCUGUAUUUUCAAAAUAAAGCACUACCUUUAUUGAAUACUAACCCAGAGAGCAUCUAAAUUUUCUAAGAAGAACACAAAGUAUCUGUGCUUUUAUUGGUGGAUGAAAUCAAAUGUGAAAGGGUCUUAGCUCAAUCAUAAAAACUUUUCAUACUUUUUUUUUUUAAAUGUAAGGUUCUAAUCUUUUAUUAAGGGUUGGACAUUUAAUCUGAGCAUUCUAGACUAAGCUCAUAGUUAGGGAUUCAGUCUUUUCAAUGGAUCUCCUAACAUUUGAAAAUCUCUUCUUUGGUCUGAGGAAUGAGUUGUGUCUUUGUUUCUCAUUCUGAGAUCAAGACAUACUGAUUUAUUUCUGUGGCUCAUGGGGGAUUUAGUGUUCAUUCUUUUUUAAUUGCUUCUAAGAGACUAAGCAUAAACUGUUAACUUCUAACAAGGAACAUAAUGAAGGAGCACUAAACAAGUUUAAUGGCAUAAUAUUAUUUAGCAUCCAUACUUAUUUGUGUUUGGGGGCAUAUAAAUGAAUGUAAAUACCAUUUGCUAAGAAAUAAACAAUAGUACAGAAAAAAUAAUGAAGUCUCUGGGGCAGGUUUGGGACAAGCCACUUUUUUACACAAACAUCAAAUUAUCCAUUUUCCAUGCGGUUUUCUUUGCCAGGAUUUUGGAUUUGUAAUCUCUCUAAUUGCCUUGCUCCUGAAAAGGAAUUAUAAAACUAUGUGUCAGCCAAACCAAAGUUGGGGAUGCAACUCAAGCUUCCAAUUUUUCCUUGGAUUUGAGAAUUAUAGCAAGUUUAGAAAAUAAAGUGGAGACAAUAGAAGAACCUAUUUUCAGAAAGAAUACUAUAUAUUUGAUUUGGGGCAUGUGGAGUUUAAGAAGCCCAUCAAAUCUUUGUGUGCUAGUGACUGAGCUAGAGCAAUUGGCUAAACAAGACAGAAUUUGGGGUAGAAUUUCUAUUUGGGGACUCACUGAUGUGGUUUAUGGACGUGUCAUUAUAUGUCAAACAGUACUGCACAUACAUUAAUUCAUUUUACAGGUGAAGAAACCAAGGUCAGAAAGGUUGAAUACACAUCCUGAGAUCUCAAAGCUAAGUUAAAGGCGAGUUGGAAUUCAAAUCCACACAGUUUUUCAGAUGCUAUACAGUCAUCAGCGACCUUGCUGGAAACAGAAGAAAUCCCGGAGGGGCAGAACAUAGAGAAAGAAUUGAAUGUUCUUUAGCGCAUACCAACCUAUACUUUCUAUGGGUCUUUUGAUCAGUAUUUAUGAUGGAAACAGUUAAGUUUUGAGUCAUGGAAUGAUACAUUUUCAGUUGACGGGGUAUUUUAUUGAGCUACUGAAAGACUAAAUCUGAUUUGGUUAGGAAGUAUGUGGGCUCCAAUAUGAAAUCAACAUAGUGAGUGGUCUUAAAUGCAUCAUGAAAGAUAUUUCCAAAAUCAGAUUUCUGUGACAAAGAAGGCAAUUCUGCAACCCGAACACUAAUGCUUUCUCCACGCCAUUGACAACACUUAUAAGGUGGUGCUGGUGAGAAAUUCACCUUCAACAAUCUCACAGGCUCAUCAAAUUUCUGGAUUUAGGUCAGUCAGUCAGUACUGGGGCCACACCAACCCUUUAGACACACCUUGGAUAAAUGGAUCCUUUUAUGACAGGUCAACAAAUGUUACUUUUCCCAUUUCCAAAUUUUAGUGGAAAUAUUUUAAAUAGCUUGAAGUCUAAUAUCUCACUUCUACCUCUACAUCUUGAAGACCCCUUUCACCACACACUAGGGACAGAAAAACAAACCUCUUUGUGCUUCAGACUUUUGCUGUUGUUAUUUUAGUUUGCCCUUUCUUGGCACCCAUGCCAAUGCAUUUUAUGAGAACUGGCAGUGAGAAAUUGAAGAGGAUCUAUAUUUGAGCCAAUACGUUUUCAAGAGCACUGAAGUUCCUAUUCUGGAUUCUCCAAUUUGCUUGUUUUUAGAUUGGAUACAGACCUGUCAUCAUCUGAAUCCUAGGCAGCAGCCUGAGCAAUAUUGGGCAUUUCAGUACCAGGUUAAAUAGACAAAAGAUCUAUUUAGAUACUAAAUCUGUUCCAAUUUUAAGAGGAGUUAUUACCAAUUGCUUUCCACCAUUCUUUACCUGUCCUAAUGCUAGUAAUUAUUAGUCUUUGCUUAUAGAAAUCAUAAUCAUUUCUGCCAGGAAUUUGAGGAUGAGUAGGUCUUCUUAAUAGUAUUUCUUGGAGUUCCCACCAUGACUAAGUGGUAAAGAACCCAACUAGUAUCCAUGAGGAUGAGGGUUCAACCCCUGUCUCACUCAGUGGAUUAGGGAUCUGGCGUUGCCAUGAGCUGUGGUAUAGGGUGCAGACACAGCUCGGAGCCCACAUUGCUAUGACUGUGGCAUAGGCCAGCAGCUACAGCUCUACUUCAACCCCUAGCCUCGGAACUCCCAAAUACUAAAAAAAAAAAAAAAUUUCUUUAUUAAAUAACAAGCGUAAGUAAAAGGCCAGUUUAAAUCAUUGACACAUAUAGUAAUAGAAACUAAAACUACUAAGAACAUAACAAAAAUCAAAAGGCACAAAAGCCCCAGGCCUUUGUAACUGAAAAAUUUUAAUUUAGUAGUUUCUAUUGGAUUCCUAGUUCUUCAACUUUAUGACCUUCUUGACAUCAUGUCUAAUAUGUUGUUUUUUUAAAAUUCUGAUAUUAAGUGUCUUAACAGAAGAAAAUAUAGUUUUUCUUUUAAAGGACCAAUAGGGCUCACAGAAAAAUCUGAAAUUUUUUUUGAGCCUCUGUUAACAGUUCUGGAUAGCAUAGGAAUACAAUUUAAACAAUAGUAACAAUAAUAUUUGUAACAUCUCCUAGAUUCUCUCUUUCCAGAGAAGUAUACCUUUCUACUACAUUCUUCUCUUUAUCAUCAAUUCCACUCUCCAUUCUAGAUUUGUAGCUGUGAUAUUUUCCUCUGCUCUAUUUAAUUUAAAUGUAACAAUAAAAGAAAAAACAUAUAAAAUGUUUGUCAUAUCUAGUAUGAACUUAGUGGUGGGAUGGGUGAAAAGGUUAGACAUGUAAUCUAAAGGAAAGAAGAGAGAUACCUGUCAGUGUUAGCAUGAGCUACAACAAAUAGAUCCAAAGUGUUACGUCAUGAUAAUAAAGGAGGUUUAUUUAUCCUUCAGGUAAUCACUUAGUUGAUGGAGGGUUAUUCUGCCGUGCAAGAAGGCCCCCACUCCAUGAAACUGUUCAGGAUCCCAAGACUCGGGAAGCUCAUCCAUCUUUGACAUGUUUUUCUUCUCAUCUUUGACAUCAUUCCACCUUUGGGAAGUGGGGAUAGCAUGGAAGGACAUAGGAAGUUUUUCCAUCCAGCCUGGCAGUGGUACCUUAUCCUCACCCUCUUUCCAUUGGAAAGAAGGUACUCAUUCAGCUACACAACUGCAAAGGGAGUCUAGGACUCAUGGUGGAAGGGGAGAAUGGAUUUAGAUGGACAGUUAGUAGUCUCUGACAUAGCAUCUGGGAGAGGCAAAACAGUGAAAGCAGCACAUGAAUAUAUGGUACAGUAAGAGGUGGAAAUCAUUUAAAAAAUUUAUUUCAGAGUUCGGAGGAGUUAGAAAUCAGAGUGGAACAAGCCCUUGGGAAGAACAUCACUCAGGAGAGGGGUAUGGUGGGAUAGAAGAACAGAAAUUGGAUAAAUGGAGAAGAAACAUAGGGGAAGAGAAAGAGUGUCUGUCUCUUUUUUUCCUCCCAAUACUCUUCCUUUUCAACAAGAAUCUCUCUUUCCCUUUAUAAAGUCUUUAAUGCCAAUGUCACUGCAAAUCACGUGACCGUGUCGCGUUAUGAUAACACUUUGACCAUCCCACUCAGACCUUCCCAGUUUCCUUUUCUUUGUUUUUCUUCUGCACAAAUUGCUACACAGACAAUUCACCUAUAUUUCCCUUGCCAACCUUGCCUUUUGUUUUAUGCCUUCCUUCUCUGAUCUCCACUUGACAAUCUCUGGCCUAACGGUUAAAACAACUUCCUUGCACUUUCGUGCUGCGUGGGCACUGUGUUUGGGGCUGCAGAUACAGAGAUGAAUAAACAGAGUUCUUGCCCUUGAGAAACACACAACAGGGAGUAGCAGCCUAAUUCUUGAGCACAUUCUAAUUCAGAUCCUUGUUCUAAUUUUGCACGUCUGGUAAAAUAGAGAUUAUUAUUCUCAUUUUGUUGAUGAGGAAUUUGGAGAUCAUGGUUUAAUUGACUUCCCCAAAUUUGGACAGCUCUGCAAAUUAGUGGUAGAACAUAUUCCCUUAUUUGAUGCUGCCUCCCUGUUGUUCUAACCCACUCUGCUCCCUCUUUAUCUCCCUUUUAAUGCUGGUUCCUCAUUCACUUCUAUCUAUAGCUAUAUCUAGUAAUUAAAAUGAAAGCUCUUAAUUGAUGAAUAUUGAUCCAUUUCAGAAGUCACCUCUUCAUCUUUUACUUUUAAAAUAUGCUUAUUAUUUUACAUGUUUUUUUUUUUUUUUUUUGCUUUAAGUAAAAAUUGAAGUAGAACUAUUUUGGCUGAGAAUAUAAGAAAAUGUAAAGUCAGAGUGAAUUUAUAGAACAGUAUUUCUUAGCUGCCCAGGGUCCUUUGUUUCAAGGUCAGAUUCGAGUCUGACUCCCCAGGACAGUAAACCAGAACCUAGAUCUUUCUUUUUCUUGCUUAUUAACUCUAUUUAUAAAAAAAAAAUAUGAUUUUCCCUCAUAUGGAAUAUUGAACUCAUUAUCUCAAGAGGUGUCACAAGCUAAAACUAUAAACAAACUACCGAAAAUAAAAGGAUUUAAAUAAAUUCAUGUCUGAUAUCCACAGCUGGCUCCGAAUGGAACUAACUUUUGAAAGUAAUGAGAAGAAUCAUGUGCUUCCAUGUUACUUUGGAAAUAAAAGAAAGAAAGAAAUGAACAUGGUAGGCUUCCACACUAGGAAGCUUAAUUGACUUUUUUUCUUCAGUUGUAAUCUGGGAACACGUUAAAAUUACCAUGUCCUUUUCUUGGAGAGAAAAUUAUGCAAAACAGAAAAGAGUAGGAGUUCCCAUUGUGGCUCAGUGGGUUAAGAACCUGACAUAGUUUCUGUGAGGAUGCAGGUUCACUUCCUGGCCUCGUUCAGUGGGUUAAGGAUCCAGUGUUGCCGUGAGCUGUAGUAUAGGUCACAGAUGUGGCUCGGAUCCUAUGUUGCUGUGGCUGUGGCAUAGGCUGGCAGCUGCAACUCUGAUUCAACCUAUAGCCCAGGAACUUCCAUAUGCCGCAGGUAUGGCCU
rnacentral:lncRNA from 9 species